UUUUUUCCUUUAAUUUUUACUAUGCCGGAUAAAUGAUGGAAAUGUGAUGCCACCAGCAGGCCAAUCACAGGGUUUGAUGUCUGUGGCGUUUCAACAUCAGAAAUGUGAAAUAAGGACGUUCCAAAAA